UCCCUGGUGGCUCAGAUGGUAAAGCGUCUGCCUACAAUACAGAAAACCCGGGUUCAGUCCCUGGGUUGGGAA
rnacentral:tRNA from 1 species